GUAGGUGGCAAGCGUUGUCCGGAAUUAUUGGGCGUAAAGCGCGCGCAGGCGGUUCUUUAAGUCUGAUGUGAAAGCCCACGGCUCAACCGUGGAGGGUCAUUGGAAACUGGAGAACUUGAGUACAGAAGAGGAAAGCGGAAUUCCACGUGUAGCGGUGAAAUGCGUAGAGAUGUGGAGGAACACCAGUGGCGAAGGCGGCUUUCUGGUCUGUAACUGACGCUGAGGCGCGAAAGCGUGGGGAGCAAACAGGGAUUAGAUACCCUGGUAGUCCACGCCGUAAACGAUAAGUGCUAAGUGUUAGGGGGUUUCCCGCCCCUUAGUGCUGCAGCUAACGCAUUAAGCACUCCGCCUGGGGAGUACGGCCGCAAGGCUG
rnacentral:rRNA from 1 species